rnacentral:rRNA from 1 species
GACGAACGCUGGCGGCGUGCUUAACACAUGCAAGUCGAACGGUGAAGCGCCUUCCUUUUUGGUGGGUGUGGAUGAGUGGCGAACGGGUGAGUAACACGUGAGUAACCUGCCCCCUUCUUCUGGAUAACCGCAUGAAAGUGUGGCUAAUACGGGAUAUUCUGGGUCUGUCGCAUGAUGGGUCUGGGAAAGUUUUUGUUUGGGUGGGGGAUGGGCUGGCGGCCUAUCAGCUGGUUGGGGGGGUGGUGGCCUACCAAGGGGGGGCCGGGUAGCCGGCUUGAGAGGGUGGACGGUCACACUGGGACUGAGGCACGGCCCAGACUCCUACGGGAGGCAGCAGUGGGGAAUAUUGCACAAUGGGCGCAAGCCUGAUGCAGCGACGCCGCGUGAGGGAUGGAGGCCUUCGGGUUGUGAACCUCUUUCGCCAGUGAAGCAGGCCUGCCUCGUUUGUGGGUGGGUUGACGGUAGCUGGAUAAGAAGCGCCGGCUAACUACGUG